UACAGAGGGGGCAAGCGUUGUUCGGAAUUACUGGGCGUAAAGGGCGCGUAGGUGGCCUUCUAAGUCGCACGUGAAAUCCCCGGGCUCAACCCGGGAACUGCGUCCGAUACUGGAAGGCUUGAAUCCGGGAGAGGGAUGCGGAAUUCCAGGUGUAGCGGUGAAAUGCGUAGAUAUCUGGAGGAACACCGGUGGCGAAGGCGGCAUCCUGGACCGGUAUUGACGCUGAGGCGCGAAAGCCAGGGGAGCAAACGGG
rnacentral:rRNA from 1 species